rnacentral:rRNA from 1 species
UACGAGGGGGGCGAGCGUUGUUCGGAAUUAUUGGGCGUAAAGGGUGCGUAGGCGGUUUUGUAAGUCUUAUGUGAAAUCUAUGGGCUCAACUCAUAGACUGCAUGAGAAACUGCAGGGCUUGAGUAUGGGAGAGGUGAGUGGAAUUCCUGGUGUAGCGGUGAAAUGCGUAGAGAUCGGAAAAGAACACCAACGGCGAAAAGCACUCUGCUGGGCCGACACUGACACUGAGAGACGAAAGCUAGGGGAGCGAAUGGG